GCUGUGUGAUAUACUUGCUAAUAGUGCUGAUAUUUUUGACUUUAUAUUUUUGACACAAAAUAUGUGUAACUUUUGUCUUUUUUCUUUUCAUUGUAAUUUGCAGUGUGUAUUUUUUGAAAUUUUUGAUUGAAAAUAAUAAUAAUAACUUCCAGGAAACUUUAAAUAGUAAUAUAUAUAUAUAAGAAAAUGUUCCAGUUUAAAUUAAGUUUGUUUAAAGUUUCUGAUCAAAGAAGAAGAAAAAGCAAAAAAAGUAGUAACCUUUUCAGAGUGACUUUCUGAGGAACUUGUCUCUGUAAUCAUUGAACGAGAGAUGCCACACCCAAAGUAUUCUAAAGAGUAAAAAUUACGUAAUAAUCUACAGAUAGUACAAUUUAUUCAUCUACAUAUUAAUCAUGCCAUAAAAAUCGAGAGAUCAUUCAGAUAAAUAUAACUUUAAAAACUUCUUAACACGGAAGUGUACGGUAAGAAUAACCUACAUUUCGGUGUUUCUACAACUCAUUAAACCGAAUUACCUCUCCCCCUCCAAAAAAAAGAAUAAAAUAAAAUUUAUUAACGUCUUUUAAAUAUUAAAUGAACUAAAGAAUUGAAUUUCUGAAGAAUAUAUAUAUUAAAAAAAAACCCACACAUUCGAAAGUAAUUAUAUUAUCUUAAAUUCGUUAUAAGUUAUAAAACGUCUUUUAUGUAACCCCUUCUACGUUUUACUCGGACCACACCUAGAUUUCUCAAAUAAUUCCGCCUACAAUUAAAUUAUAAUUAUUUUGACUGUAACGUUAGAUAAACUUAAUGAUAUUGGAGAUAAUGCAGUUUAAUUUAUUGUUAGAAUUAAAUGGGAACAGGCCACAAGUUUGGUCUGUUGAACAGUUGGCUUAUGUUCGAUGAAGGACGUGUUUUCAUGAAUUAUUUCUUUUCCGAUUCUUCCCUCACGUUUUCUUCUUCUUCUUUUUCUUUUUCCUUGGAUACAGUAAUCGUUCAGCACCGUUAUCUGGAUACAAUAUUUAUAUUCCGAAUAUACUGUGGCUCGUAAUCCAUCAGUCAUUGGGUGGAUAUGAAAUUGUUGUAGACCACACCCCGCCUGUUGGCACAGUAAUCUAAGAAUUAAUGACUGGUAUAUAUUUACUAGAUCAUAACACAAGUAUAUCUGUAUGUGUGUGUUAUCUUGGUUUCUAAAGUUUGUUUAGAGUUAUUUUCUUCUAGGAAUAUAUCGUGACGUCCAUCACGAUGUUCGUGACUAUUUUUGCUGUGCAGAUCAACGAACGUCUGUUCUUUUUGCAUGUGACACCAUAAUUUAUUAAUUGAUAUACGAAUUAUGGAGAAAAUAAUAAAAAUAUAAUAUAUAUAUGUAUCGUGUCAUAACACCAUUGAAUGGCAUGUGACAGAUGGUUCACAUGUCACAUUUCCUCCGAUCGAUUCUUGAUCGUCAAAUGAAAUAAUUUGAAAUAUACAGUUUAAAUAAAUGCAUUUAUAGGAAAGUUCUUUUAAGAUUUGAAAAAUAGGUAAUUUAGACAAUCAGUCGGGACUGGCAUUUGGGUAUAUCACGUGACGUGAUUAGAGGAGACAGUCCUGAUAAACGGAUCACCGAAUCCAUUGUCGGUAGAGUACAGCACGAGUCGUCUUUGUUCGAUGCCCCGUGUCCUGUAUUGCCACCUGGACUGAAUCGGUGGGAGUGAUAUGCACACUUUAGAAACACUUCUGAUGUGAGAAAUGACAUCUGUCUGUUUAUAGACUCGGAAAAAAAGCAUAAAAGUUACAUAUAUAUGAAUUUAAUAACUAUCUGCCUUUUUUGGAAAGUCGCGUUUUCAUAUUUAAGCAAUAUCGAUCAUGGUCCUAAUUCACUUUUGACAUCAUUUUCUCCUAUGGAAAAUUAUGAUAAUCUUUCAUUCUUUUAUAUUCAAUCUCAUCCCGUUGCGCAUUUAUUAUUAUGCAUUCAUGCACUAUCGAAUGUUUGCUAUAUAUAUAUACAAUAUCUUACGCUGCCAUAGAACAAAGGGUGUUUCGACACAGCUUCUUGUUCGAAAAUAAAAGUACCUCUUACAUUAGUGCCUGCCUGUUAAACAGAACAUAAAGAAAUCGAAGCGCUUAGAGGGCCUCGAGCGAAAGCAAAAUUCUAAAAAGAGAGGGGAAAUAAAAGGAUUCUUUCUAUAAAACCCUCUUCUAUAGUUUUCAUCUGAUAAAUCACUAAACUGAAGAACCACAUUGUCCUUUCACUCUUUUUUGACGAAAUUCGAAAAAAUCGCGCAAUUUCUCACGAAC
rnacentral:lncRNA from 1 species